rnacentral:rRNA from 1 species
GAUGAACGCUGGCGGCGUGCUUAACACAUGCAAGUCGAACGAACCUUCGGGUUAGUGGCGGACGGGUGAGUAACGCGUGGGAAUCUGCCCUCAGGAGGGGGAUAACGGCCGGAAACGGCCGCUAAUACCCCAUAUGCCGAGAGGUGAAAUGAAUUUCGCCUGAGGAUGAGCCCGCGUCUGAUUAGCUAGUUGGUGAGGUAAGAGCUCACCAAGGCAUCGAUCAGUAGCUGGUCUGAGAGGAUGAUCAGCCACACUGGGACUGAGACACGGCCCAGACUCCUACGGGAGGCAGCAGUGGGGAAUUUUCCGCAAUGGGCGAAAGCCUGACGGAGCAACGCCGCGUGAGGGAUGAAGGCCUCUGGGCUGUAAACCUCUUUUAUCAAGGAAGAAGAUCUGACGGUACUUGAUGAAUAAGCCACGGCUAAUUCCGUGCCAGCAGCCGCGGUAAUACGGGAGUGGCAAGCGUUAUCCGGAAUUAUUGGGCGUAAAGCGUCCGCAGGCGGCCCAACAAGUCUGCUGUUAAAAAGUGGAGCUUAACUCCAUCAUGGCAGUGGAAACUGUUGGGCUAGAGUGUGGUAGGGGCAGAGGGAAUUCCCGGUG